rnacentral:rRNA from 1 species
UAAACUUUAACUAACCUUAUACACUAAAAAAUAACUAAACCAUAACUACACCCAGUAUACCAAAACCUACCACACCCAAACUCCGCAAGGAUAACCAACAAUUUACCAAAAGAAGACAUAAACAACCCUACCUUUUGCAUCAUGUAAUUGCAACAACAAACAGAAUUUUCUGCUUCCCGAAAAGCGAAGAGCUACCCUAUACACUAAAACCCUAAUGUGUCACUAUUAAGGAAGAGUUUAAGGUAGAGGCAAAAUACUUUACGAGUCGCUUGAUAGCUGGUUGUCCCUCAAAAGCAUAUAAGUGCCCCCUUACAGCCAAAACUAACAAUCUUUUUAUGUAAGGAAAAACCUGACGAGGACAAGCUCGUCUGGGUAACAGAAAUAACAAAUCUUACAACCUCACGAGAAGGCUUAAAACCAGCCAACAAUUACCCGUUAUAGGGUAUGAGCACAAACAUUCCAGAUCAAACAUAAAUUCUUAUAACAAAGGAACCCUAUGGUAUAACACAACCCUUAACGAACCGGCAUCUAUUAGUAUUACUUAAUAUUUAAAGAAAACCCAUAAACACACUUUCACCACAACACUUCAAAUUAAACACAAACCGCGAAUAAUGAACUCGGCAAAACCUUUCUUUGCCUGUUUACCAAAAACAUCGUCUUUUGUACAAAAAACAUAAAAGAUACUGCCUGCCCAAUGACCUUUAGUUAAAUGGCCGCGUUAGCGUGAGCGUGCUAAGGUAGCGUAAUAAACAGCUCCCUAAUUAGGAGCCAGUGAAUGGCAAGACGAAGAAAGACUGUAUCACUCCACGAAAAAAGAAUUUUUCCUCUAAGUGAAAAGACUUAGAUCAGAGAAAAAGACGAAAAGACCCCGCGGAACUGUUCUUUAUAGCUCCACUUUGAAAAAGCAAAGCUCGAGCUAACUGAUUGGUUGGGGCAACCUUGGAGCAAAAUAAGCCUCCAAACAACCUCCACUACACACUAUAUAAAACUCGCUAUGGACAAUAAUCGUAGUUACCCCGGGGAUAACAGCGUAAUCCAACUUACGAGUACACAUUAAAAGUUGGGUUUGCGACCUCGAUGUUGGCCUAGGGAAAGCAACUUGGCGCAGCCACUAAGUCCACAAUGCCAGUCUGUUCGACUGAAUAAUCCCCUACACGAGCUGAGUUAAGACCGGCGAGAGCUAGGUUGGAUUCUAUCUUUUCUCCACAACCCACUCUUUAUUGUACGAAAGGACCCAAAGAGACACACCCAAAGUGCAUUAAAAAUUUUAUCAACCUGAAACCAACUACCU